rnacentral:rRNA from 1 species
CCUACGGGUGGCAGCAGUGGGGAAUAUUGGGCAAUGGGCGCAAGCCUGACCCAGCAACGCCGCGUGAAGGAAGAAGGCUUUCCGGUUGUAAACUUCCUUUAAGAGGGAAGCGCAGAAGACGUUACCUCUUGAAUAAGCCACGGCUAACUACGUGCCAGGAGCCGCGGUAAUAAGUAGGUGACAAGCGUUGUCCGGGUUUACUGGGGGUAAAGGGCGUGCAGCGGGGAAGACAAGUCAGAUGUGAAAUCCCGCGGCUCAACCGCGGAACUGCAUUUGAAACUGUUUUUCUUGAGUACCGGAGAGGUAAGCGGAAUGCGUGGUGUAGCGGUGAAAUGCGUAGAUAUAAGGAAGAACACCGGUGGCGAAGGCAGCAGACUGG